rnacentral:rRNA from 1 species
AUGACGCAUGAGAAUCAGCUCGACAAGAAGCUCGAGGUGUUCUCCAUCCUGGGGUUCGGGGGGCUCGGGAAGACGACGCUCGCUGUAGAAGUGUGCCGGAGGUUGGAGGAGGAGUUCAGUUGCCAGGCAACCGUGACGGUAUUGCAGGCCUUUGAUGCCAGCAAGGACAUGAGUGGGCUGCUCCUGCGCAUACUUCACCAGGUCGUCAAGGUGAAAAGAGAUAAUGAACAAAAUUGCAUGCAAGAAGAAGAUCCAUUGGGUGAAAUCGACAGUAAUGUGGACAAUCUGGCCAGCAUGCUAAUUCAGCGACUCGCGGAUAAGAGGUACCUCAUUGUGAUUGACGAUGUAUGGACCAUAUCCGCAUGGGAUGCAAUACGAUGCAAAUUGCUAGACAACAACAAUAGUAGCAGAAUCAUUGUGACUACUAGGAUAGAGACCGUGGCCAAAGCAUGUACCCUAGCUAAUGCUUGGGGAGAUCAUAUCUAUCGAGUCAAGCCUCUCAAGUUGGAAGAUUCCAAGACGCUAUUUGUUAAUAGAGUAUUUGGCCCCAAUAAUGUUUGUCCCAAUGAUCUGGAGACGGCAAUGGAUGGCAUACUGAAAAAAAGUGCUGGUUUGCCAUUGGCAAUUGUUAGCAUCGCCAGCCUUUUGGCAAGCUACAAAACGCCUGGCAGCUUGGAGAUGUGGACGAGAAUCUGCAACUCAAUUGGUUCUCAAAUGGAGAGUAACCCCACAUUGGAAGGAAUGAGACAAUCGAUUACACUAAGCUACAACCACCUUCCACAUCAUCUGAAGGCUUGCAUGAUGUAUCUCAGCAUUUUCCCGGAGGAUUACGUGACAAGCAAGGACCGACUCCUCAACAGAUGGAUUGCUGAAGGGUUAAUUCCUGAGAAGCGUGGACUGACACUGGAGGAGGUUGCAGAAUCCUACUAUGAUGAGCUGUUUAGCAGGAACAUGAUCCAGCCAGGCCAGGUAAUAUAUGAUGGUUCAGCGAUUGAGUGUCGUGUGCAUGAUAUGAUGCUGGAGGUCAUAGUGUCCAAGGCCCUAGAGGUGAACUUUGUCAGCCUGAUAGGAAGCCGAUAUGGAGGGUCAUCACAUGACACUGUACGCCGCCUCUCCAUCCAUGGCGACCUGGGUUCCAAUAUUGAGGAGACAAGCAUGCGGCAUGUCCGGUCUUUGAGCACUUUUCGACCAGAAGGUCAAGGCAAGCUGCUUGAUCGACUUGCCGAGUUCACCCUGCUCAGGGUACUAGACCUACAAGACUGCAAAGAUGUAAAAGACCACCAUAUGAAGCAUGUUUGCCGGCUGUUUUUUCUCAGAUUCUUGAAUCUUAAUCAUACAGAUAUCACACUACUACCUAGCCAGAUAGGUGAGCUGCAACAUUUGCAGACGCUUUGGCUAUAUGGCACGCUCCUUAACGGGGUUCCAGAAUCCGUUAUCAACCUCGAGAAACUUGAGUACUUUGGCCUUUCCAACAGGAAAGAUUGGAGGGUACUUUUGAGGCUGCCUCGAGGGCUCGGGAAAAUGAAGGCCCUAGAGGGUUUGUUAAGGGUUGAUAUCCGUGAAGGCGAUACAGAACUUGCCAAGGAGAUGGGCGACAUGGUUCAAUUACGAAGACUUGGAAUCGUCCUCCGUUGCACCGGCUGCUCGGAUAAGCCCGUGCUCAGAGAGAUUGGUAACUCCAUCGGAAGGAUAUCCUCCAUCCGUCAGAUCUCCGUUGAAGACAUGUCAGAGGAUGCAAACAACAUGGACUUUCUUCAUCACCUCCCCUCCCCACCACUCCUCCUCCGGCACAUCACAGUUGGUGGCAAAAUCAACGGGUUUCCAGACUGGAUGGCGUCACUCACACACCUCGUCCAUAUAGAACUUUGGUGGAUUGACAUGCACGGUGAUGACAUAUACGGUGUCCUGUACAAGCUGCCUAACCUGCUGAAGAUCACGUUGGAUAGGAAGUGCUGCAAGGAUGAGGAGCUGGUUGCGCGCACCACCUUCAAGUUCCCGGUGCUCAAAGAGCUGGCCAUUGUUCGUGAUAAUAGUACGCCGAGAGUUGUUCGAUUUGAGCAAGGCGCCAUGGGAAAGCUCGAAAAGCUCAUGGUGCGAUUCUGUGACCAGGAGAGGAGCCUGGCCGGCAUUGACAACUUAACCAGCCUUCAGGAGGUGGAACUCGUUGGUAAGAAAAACACCAAGGCGCUACAGGUGGCAGCGGACCAGCUGAAAACCGAGAGCCAGAGUCGCCAGGAAGCAGAGCAGUUCAAAGUUGUACUAAAAUACGAGUGA